rfam:Tritrichomonas foetus strain K scaffold_724, whole genome shotgun sequence.
GUCUCGAUGUUCUAAUGGUUAGGAUAUGACUUUCACACGGUCGUGGUGGGGGUUCGAUUCCCCCUCGGGACA